rnacentral:rRNA from 1 species
GAAUUUUAUAUAUUUUUAUUUAGCAAAAUUUAUAUUGAAAUAAAUAAGAAGAUAUUUUAUUGGGAGGAUAGUUAAAUAUAAAAAACUUUAAUUAAAAUUGAAAUAUAAAUUAAUAAAUUUAAGAAUGAUUAAAUAAAUUAAUUAAAAAUUAAUUACCUUAGGGAUAACAGCGUAAUAUUUUUGGAGAGUUCAUAUUAAUAAAAAUGUUUGC